GAGAGGACGCGUCCGCCCCCGCCCCAGGGGAGGAGGCGCCGGUGCUCCCAGGUCGGGGGGGGGGGGGGGGGGGGGCAUGACACUCCCCGAAGGAGCCCCAACACUGGACUGAGGCCCCAAACCCGGUGCCCCAGCUGGAGUUGAAGACUGCAGUGGAGCCUCAGCACUACUUGGAUGGAAUUGUCCACUUUAGUCGUAUUUGUAUACCUCUCCAAUCCUGCUCUCUGCCCACCUCUCUCACAUAUGCAAUGGCCUGGGAGCUCCUUUAAAGGAACCUAGACGUGAUGCCUGGAGGUGUGGCAGCCGUUGUGGUACCGUCAGGUUGAAAGCCAACGUGUAAGGAUGGUGGAAGAAAUCAUGAGGCCAGCAAAGCAGCCGAGGCAGUUGACAUGUAGCUUCCUUGUUAUGUGGGAAGAGGAAGCCCUAAAGUGUUUAAGUCACCGUUGUUAGGUUUGCUUUGACUUGUGGCCAAAGGCAUUCCUCCCAGAUGCGGAUGAGUAUCUGUCUGUGGAUGUCUCCAUUACUGUAGGCCACUUUAGGUUAUUGAGAGCCUUGCUCAGUGACACGAUUACAUACCUGGUGACCCACUGGCUGACUGAAUAGUAAGGAUCAAGGAUAUAUAAGUCAAUAGCAAUAAUACUAUCUUCGUAUUAUUGUUAGUAUUAUCACCCCAUGUAUCGAGGACGUGCUACACCCUCUAUAUGACGCAUUAUCUCGUUUAACCCCCACGGCAACACUAGAAGUGGAAGCUGAGCGGCACCCAUUUUACAGAUGAGGAAAACUGAGGCUCAGAAGGGCUCACGCAGCUGGUGGGCCAUGAGGCUAGAGUUGGAGCCAGGUAUGUGGGCCCCAGGACACAAUUUCUGUUCUCCCCACUGCACACCCUCAGGUCAAGAGAACCAGCUUGAUCAUUUUGUCUUUCGGCCAAGGAACGGAAGAGGGAGGGAGGGUGGCCUUGCUGGAUGGGGUGGCCCUGGGGCUCCCUGAAUCUCAGCUGUCAUGUGCAACUCUGCUGAGCUUGGGGAGCUGAGGGCUGGAACUUAGAGGGUAACAAGGAGUCUGUCCCCAGGGCCUGAGGCCUUGGCAAUCCAGGUCGUGGGGGACCAUGAGGUGCCAACCCCUGGCCCCAACGGUUCCUCAGACUCUUCUGGGAGGACUCCACUUAGUUCCUCAAGGAAAAAGGCAGCAGAGGAAGCCGGGCCAAGCCCCCUCUCCUGACCCCUUACACGGUGGCAUCCCCUUGCUCCGGCAGCCUGUUCUGGGAGGGGGACGGAGCUGGAGAGAGGAGGCAGGUGCCUGCUUAGAUUCUAGGUGAGCCCAGAGAGGUGAGAGAGUGAACCAAGGGGCACCGACCCCAGAGGAAGAAGGCCAGAGAAAGGUGAGAGCCAAAGCAGGAGAAAGGAGAAGAGUGUUCUAAGGAGUGAGCCCCUCAAGGGCGAAGGCUUGGCAUCUGGCAGGGAGAGGGUUCAGCAGAGCUGAGCAGCAGGGGGGGAGGAAGAGAGGGGAGGCUGGGAGGGGAGCGAGGGCGGGUCCCUGGGGCUUGAAGAGCCUCGUGGUGUUACCUGGAGGGGUGGGGGUUGUGGAGGGCUGGGCCGCGGCCACACGGAUCCCAUGGCUCACUCCAGAAGAGGACAGGCAUUGGCUUCUCAUUUGGAGCAAGGGUCUCUCCCGGGUGCAGUGUUCUGAGUCCCUGAGGCCACAGCUUAAGAGGCUGUGCAAAGGGGCACCCAGGCGGUGCAGUCAGUUAAGCCUCCGGUCAUGAUCUCCUGGUUUGUGGGUUCAAGCCCCAU